rnacentral:lncRNA from 1 species
AUGGAGACUAAUUUCUGCCCAGUCAGAUUUCAGCAUCACACAUCCAUAUCACAACCAUUUCAUGCUGUCCAAUCUCAGCAUCACUCUAAGAGGGAGAUAUGCAACCUGACUGAACCCAAUACGAAGGUAAGAGAAGUAGUAAAAAAUAUUUCAUAUUAUGAAUAUCUAAAAAUAUUUUAAAUGAUCAAAAAGCAAGACACUUAUUAAGACACACUAUUUUGUACUCUGAUCUAGCAUGAACGUCUUUGCAAGUUAAAUGUCAAAGCUGAAUUGCAGCUAUUCAGUGUGGCUUUGAUAAUUGAAGUAAAUGACACCAUUAUGACUGAACAGUUUGGUCUAUUUUUAUCCUCUUAACUAUCAUAGUUUCAUCAUAGAUGAAUAGAAAACCCUCUUCAUUGCCACUUUAUAGUCAUGUUAUUAUAGCACUGAUAUAUAUGUCCAUUGGACUAUAUAGAAACAGUUCCUGGAGUUUAACUGGUAGACCACAGAAACACAAGGUCAUCUGUCCAGUGUGAAGUUCUUCAUGUGCUACUUUUGACCUUUUGGACUUUGAGAAUAGAAAAUAAUUUUUUUUCGUUCCCACUAAAUUUAGUUUUUGUUUAUUAAUAACAGUCCAACUGUUGACAUGGUACACGAUCAAAGGAGAAUUCAGUCUUUAUGAUUUUAGUUUAAGUUAACAUCAUAACCCUGGUGGAAAAUAAUAACCCUGGUGGAACUUAUUUUAAAUUUUUAAAACAUUUUUGAAAUAAUUUUAAAAUGAAAUGCCAGUCUCCUUUGUCUAGCUAAGGCUAAAACACUUUAUUACAGGUCAAAUUGUCUUGUAGAUAUUACAGCAUAGUUUUUAAUCUAUAAAACAGUACUGAUGUAAAUAUUUUUUUUUUUCACAGUAAUAGCUUUUCAUAGUUUACUGAAAGUCUGGGACAAGGAGAGAAGGAACAAAAUGUGACUUUACUAUAACGAAAAUAAAAAAUGUAGAACUCUAUAUUAAAUUUUUUUACUGGAAAGCUCAGUGCUACAGUGAUAGUCUAAUAACAGUGAAAGUCUGGGACAAGGAGAGAAGGAACAAAAUGUGACUUUACUAUAACGAAAAUAAAAAUAGUAGAACUCUAUAUUAAAUUUUUUACUUGGAAAGCUCAGUGCUACAGUGAUAGUCUAAUAACAGUAGCAGUAUAGUACAAGUGUAGUAGUGCUGCUGGAACUGAAGGCUGCUGUAAUGGCUAUAAAGUGAAUGGAGUCUGAUAGCACUAGUAGUAUUCCAGUACUUACAUGUCUCUAGAGACAGACUGUGUUUACUGGAGUGAAAUAAACCAAUUACAGUACACUCACACCAUACACACACAGACGCUCGCAGUCACAUGACAGCAGGGGGAUUGUAUGCAUGUUCCUGAAGAGCUUUCAGGCCUGGCGUUUCUCCACAGAUCUGGGUCAAUGCUGGGCAGUUUAAAUAUUAACCAAUAAAAAAACAAGACUGCAUCUGCUGCUCAAAAUCUAUUGGCCUCUACAAGAUUUUCUUCAAAAAUAAAACAUGAUUAGAGUUUGCAGUUAAUGGUCACACAAUAUCUAUUUAAAUUACUUAAUUGAAUUCAGUUUAAGUCUCUUGCUUAGAUCUUGAAACACUAUUAUUGUUCUUGUUUUCAUGUCUAGGUUUCUGUGUAUCUUCAGAUAAGAUGGUGGGUGAAGGUUUACUGGACUAGCUAGCCUACUGUUCUUUUGAUUAUCCUAGAAUACACCAGUUUAUCAAUAGGAAGUUUCUUCUGAGCAGAACAAGCAUAGCGUUUCAACAUAUGCUCUUAAAACACUAGUUUUUCAAUGACUCUUCCAGAGGCUUCGCCAGUUAGUGGCAAGAAGUGACUUUAUGAGUGAGUCAUUGAUUCACUAAUUAAAACAGAUCUGUUUAAAACACUGACUGAUUCAGGAACGAAACGAGUGGCUUUUUAUGAGUGAGUCAUUGAAUCACUUACUCGCCCGAUUCGUUGAAACUACUGAUUCAUUUAUCCUUGCGUUGCAAAGGUGUAACAAUUAUGCUGUCGCUUCCUUUGGAAGUAUUUUAUUUUCAUUGAGUUUGCGGUUUAACUGGCAACAUAAUGUCUAAAAACCUAAUAGCUAUUUUUUAUUGAACUACUUGUAUAAAAGGAAUAUCACACUCACAAUCGCUGAUAUGUAUAUAAUCACUGACACAUGUAUCUAUCUAUCUAUCUAUCUAUCUAUCUAUCUAUCUAUCUAUCUAUCUAUCUAUCUAUCUAUCUAUCUAUCUAUCUAUCUAUCUAUCUAUCUAUAAUCAUACUUAUAUAUCAUAUAUUACUAAUUAUCACAUCAUUUUUGCUG